rnacentral:lncRNA from 1 species
UUGGGGUUGCUAUAAACUUUUGAGAAGGAUUAUCAGCUCCACAAAGAGAUGGUGAAUGUAGUGCGAGGAUCUUCUUCAGGUGGACAUCAUCUCUUUAAGAAAUGGAAGAAAAAUAAAAAUAAAAAGGUGCAAAGUGUUGGGAGUCAAAUCCAAAAAUUCAAGUCCAAGGCCGACCAAAGUCAGGCAGAAUACUUCUAUUAUUACAAGCAGGGUCAUUGGAAGAGAAACUAUCCUCAAUAC